rnacentral:rRNA from 1 species
UGGGGAAUAUUGCGCAAUGGGGGCAACCCUGACGCAGCAACGCCGCGUGCGGGACGACGGCCUUCGGGUUGUAAACCGCUUUCAGCAGGGAAGAUAGUGACGGUACCUGCACAAGAAGCCCCGGCUAACUAGGUGCCAGCAGCCGCGGUAAUACGUAGGGGGCGAGCGUUAUCCGGAUUCAUUGGGCGUAAAGCGCGCGCAGGCGGCUCUUCAAGCGGAACCUCUAACCCCGGGGCUCAACCUCGGGCCGGGUUCCGAACUGGAGGGCUCGAGUGCGGUAGAGGCAGGCGGAAUUCCCGGUGUAGCGGUGGAAUGCGCAGAUAUCGGGAAGAACACCGAUGGCGAAGGCAGCCUGCUGGGCCGGCACUGACGCUGAGGCGCGAAAGCUAGGGGAGCGAACAGG